AGAAUUUUGGUACUGAGAAGGGGUUUUAAAGAUCUUCUAGUCCAGCUGAGCCAAGAGACAGAGAGAACUUAGCAGUGACAAUGCAGGACCAGAAAUCAGGCCUCCUUGUCCUAUUCUACUAUCAUUUCCAAUGCUCCAGAAAAUCUUUACAAAAUAAGGGUGAAUGGGAGAGAAACUUUUGAGUCCUCACAUGAGCAAAAAUGCCUUUAUUCUAUGCUUACCUCUGGUAGUCUGGCCAUAUUUAAGAUUCUUAGUUUGAAAGAAUUUUCCCUCCAAAUUUCAAAAGCAUUUACCUUUGUCUUCUAGAUUCUAGUGUCACUUAUGAUUUUUGGAGCCAUUUUUCCUAUUCCUUGGUGGAGACUUGUUUUAUUCCCUCAGAACCAUUUAAGGACUAUCAGUGAAUUUCCAGUUUUCUGUAAUUUUCAUGGUGAUGUACCACGGCAUGAGAUUUUCUCCUUUCUUUCUUUUAAAAAUAAAAUUCAGAGUGCUGUGCAUACUUUUCACUUCUGAAAAAAGUGAAAUAUGCUCUCGGAAAUUUUUCUCUCCAUUUUUUUCUUUUUGCUCUCUCUAAAUAAUUAGAGAGUUUGGAUGUUGGACACCUCUGAUUUUCUUCUAUUUUCAUCUCAGUUUGCUUUACUUUCUGGGAGAUUUUUGCAACUUUAUCCUAGCUAUUGACAUUUUUUUUUUUUUUUUGCUAUUGACAUUUUUAUCUCACAUCCUGUUCUGUUUUAUGGCCACUAUAUCUUCUCUCACAUCUCUGAAGAACUUAAGGGUUGUUAUGAGAAUUAAAUGAAUUACACCUGUGAAGCACUGAGGACCAUUGUCUGAUCAUAAAUUGCCUCCACCCCCUACACCGCGUGCUGGUAACUGGGUAGACCCUCUGCUGUAGACACACCGUCCACUACCACUUCCUGGGCAACCAUGUCCACAUUGCUCCCUGCUGCUGCUGGGGUCCAGAUGCUCGUGUCCUUUGGGAAGGUGCUGAGGUUAGUGGCUGAUGAAUGGGGGAGGCAGGAUGGGCGACAUAGAAUAGCUGUCCGCACAGCCAUGACGGCCAGUGACAGGAUGGUCGUGGGCAGCUGGGAUCACAGCUGGGAAUCAGAUUAAGGAACUGAAUAAGAAAUGGACAGAGCCUUGGUUUCUGGAAAAAGUCAAGAUGAGAGCAAUCAAUAUGUGGAGGCUCUGGGCAGAGGGUGAUGGAGUCAGGAGAAGGGCAAAGAUUUAGGUUCAUGUUCUGACACCAAGGAAUGCAACCAGGGAGUCAUUUGACCUACCUGAGCCUUUACCUUCUCAACUCAAAGAUGACUCCUUGCUUCAUGAGGCUACAAAGAGGUUGUGGGACAGACCUCACUGCUCUGAAUCUCUAUCUCCUUGUCCAUGAAAUGAGAAUAUUAAUUAUACCUAAUUCAUGGGGUUUGGAGAAGUUUAGAACCUUACGUGAAAAAUAAUUAAUGAGCUUGGCAUGUCUAGCUGCUCAGUAAAUGGUUGCAAGCUAUCGAGAUCUCAAUUAAGAAAGCUCAAGCAGAAAGAACAAUUUAUUCAAAAGCUCUUCCAUCUUCCCCCUCUCUCCCUACAACACUAUUUUUAAGGCCUACCCCCUCAGCCCUUUGGAAACUGACAACUAUAAAUGUUUGAAGAUACAACAGACUCCCUCUGGAAGUAGUAAACUCCUUGUUCCCAGAGAAAAAUGAACAAAAACUAGAUAAUGUAUUGGGGGCACAUAGCAGAAGGGCUUCAACCAGCUGAUGGGAUGGAGGUGAGGGGAGGAAGGCACAAGGCUAUAGGCCCUCAAUGAUCUUUUCCAGACUCUCUCUCCCAUAGUGCCCACCCAUCCCCGGAUUUCGGGAUGGGCAGUGACCACUGAAAACUCUCAUCUGGGCAACACUAAGGAAAAUCCUGCUGAGAAUUGUCCAUCAGAAAAGUCCAUGAUACACAGGCCCCUCCACAUCGCCAUGCAUGCCUGUGUUUGGGUGAUAUCCCUUUCUUAGAGCUGGGGGUGGGGGCCAAUCCUACAAGAAAAUUUGGUGCUGAUGGCUGGCCAGUGGAACCCUCAGUCAGAGCCUGGCUAACAAGGGAUCUGCAGUGAUCACGGAGAAUCCUUAGACCAGAAAUGAGCCUUCUCGAGGGCAGGAAUGAAGAACUCAGGAGACCAGCUCAUUGACCUUCCCUCCUGGACCUUCUCAGGCAUCUACACCACAUAUCAGAACUGGGCACAAACACAGACCAGUCAUCUGAUUACAUAAUUCUCUGCUCUGGGAGGGACGGGGUGCAGCACAAUCCCUUGGUGGGGAGGUUUUCCUUCAAAAAGCAUAGUCAAGGGGCACCUGGGGGGCUCAGUGGUUGAACAUCUGCCUUUGGCUCAGGGCGUGAUCCCAGGGUCCUG